rnacentral:rRNA from 1 species
AGAAUCAACGCUGGCGGCGUGCCUCAGACAUGCAAGUCGAACGAUUAAAGCUCUCUUCGGAGAGUGUAUAGAGUGGCGCACGGGUGAGUAACACGUAAGUAAUCUACCUUUGAGUGGGGAAUAACAAUCGGAACGAUUGCUAAUACCGCAUAAUGCAGCGGCAUCGCAAGAUGACAGUUGUUAAAGGAGCAAUCCGCUUAAAGAGGAGCUUGCGGCAGAUUAGCUAGGUUAGGUAAGGUAAUGGGCUUACCAAGGCUACGAUCUGUAUCCGGUCUAAGGAGGACGGUCGGACACACUGAACACUGAAUAACGGUCAGACUCCGUAACGGGAGCAGCAGGUCGGUAAGUUUUGGGCAAGUGGGCGAAGCCUGGACC